rnacentral:rRNA from 1 species
UACGUAGGGUGCAAGCGUUGUCCGGAAUUAUUGGGCGUAAAGAGCUCGUAGGCGGCCUGGCGCGUCGGCUGUGAAAACCCGAGGCUCAACCUCGGGCCUGCAGUCGAUACGGGCAGGCUAGAGUUCGGUAGGGGAGACUGGAAUUCCUGGUGUAGCGGUGAAAUGCGCAGAUAUCAGGAGGAACACCGGUGGCGAAGGCGGGUCUCUGGGCCGAAACUGACGCUGAGGAGCGAAAGCGUGGGGAGCGAACAGG